ACAACCUCUCAGUGGCCCAAGACAACUUUUUAACAUGAUAAAUUAUAGAAAAAGUUGAUGGGAUUUGUUUCCACUUUGGAAGUUUCUGCUAUUGGUGAAAUCACAGACUCAGUCUAUCUACCCUCAGCAAAGUCUUCUGACAACUGAGAAGUGCCUGGUCCAUGAGAAGUAAUGUGAAUUCCACUGUCAAGUCCACGUUUGAUUGAAAAAGAGAGGGCCAAUCAAGUGAGCGGCCUAGGAUGAACCUCCAUAUGGUCCUAGAAUUGACUUUGCCAAAAAAAAAAAAAAAAAAAAAAAAAAUUCCUGAUCUCAACGUCCACCUUGGGAUCUGAGCUCUGCUCCUGACUUGACUAGAAGGACUGAGCAUCCCCAGUUUGGGAGUUAAUCCACCGGGUUCAUCAAAAUUCUGCCCUAAGACUGAACAGUCUAAUGGAUCCUGAGUGCUAAGUCUACUAACCUUGUAUCAUUUCAAGAAGUUGGAGGCUCCACCUCCUAGUCAGCAUCCAUUAGGAAGCCAGGGAUUAUUAAAGGGUAUUUUGCCAUUUGCCCAUCAUAAGACCAUUGCUCUCAAACCAGACUCUCUCUUCCCUUACCCAUACCCACUCAUUGCUACCAGCUUUGUCAUUUCCUGAGAUCAGAGACAUGAAAGGCUGAUGUAGGUUAAGGAAAACGAGAUGAUUGACUUCUCGAGAUUUCCUUCAAAAUGGAGACCGUCUAUGUGGAAAAAUCAACUGACAAAAAUGAUGUAAGUUCCUGCCCUCAAGGACCCUACAAGACUUCUCUUCCCUGUGUAGCUUCCCUUUGGACAUCGUCACAAGUCUCUGAUGUAAUUUGUACGUAACCUUUCCCAACUUUCAUCUGGAUGAUUUAAAAAAAAAAAAAAGGCUUCUUAAGAUGCUGACUUUCCUUUCCCCUGAGCCAAUCAACCUCCUGAGUCAGAAGACCUAAGUUGGAAUUCUUGCUCUGUCACUUACUGUGCACAUGACCUCAACCACUGAGUCUCAGUUUCCCCAUCUGUAAAUGAGAGAGUAGGAUGCAAUUAUCUUUGGGGCCCAUUCCAACUCUGUCUUUCACCUUUGCUUGGCAGAGUGGGGAGAAGGUUAGACUUGUUGGGAAGAGCUCCCCUUCUUCUUUGAAAAAGAACCUCAAAUUGUAUGCUUAAUACAUAUAGGCCAAGGCUGUGGCUAGGAGCCUGAAGACGAUUAGCUUGCCAAAUCGGCUUAUUUUAAUCCAUUUCCAAGCAGUCGGAGUUAAGUAUUUUGGAAUAGGCCUUUCUCAACAAGACCCAAAAUUCUGUGGUUUAGAAAAUAUUAGUGGAUCACAGAGCCACACAUUCAUUUCAAUUUAAUUUGAUUUGAUUAAUUAUCAUUUAUUGGGCCCUUGCUAAGUACAAUAAGUAGACAGAAGUAACUCUUCCUCUUAGAAAUUUUGGCUUCCCAUGGAUAUCAAAACCAAACUGAUUAAUCAAAUGACUUAAUAAAUGUAUGAACAUUUAUUAAGUACUGACUAUGUAUCAUCACCUGCUAAGGCUCAGUUACAAAUGGAAAGGUCAGAUAAAUCUUGAUCCCAAGGAGCUUUUCUUCUCAUGGAGGAAACCCUAGAUCUGAAAGGUUUUAGCUGCCAACAGGAUAAAAAGAUCCCGUGAUCUUCAGGGGGCUGCAGAAAAGCAGAGGAUCACUCUAUUUUAGAAUAUAAUUUCCACUGAUCAAAUCCCAUCAAUGUUGAAACAUUUGACAGUAUUGAGAUGACUGGAUCGGAUGCUCAAAUGUUAUCCCAUUUGAUCCUCUCAAUAACUCUGUGAAGUAGAUGCUGUUACUACCUCCAUUUUAUAGAAGAGGAAACUGAGGCUGACUAGUCCGGCCGUAGUGUCUAAGGCAAGGUUCAAAUACAGUCUUCCUGACUCCCGGUCACUCUGCUGAUUUUCCUUGCUUGGUUUGGAAUCAAAGAGUCUGCUAUAAACCCCUUAAUCUGGGGUUUUUCACCUGGGGCCAAUAAAUGGAAAAGCAUGGAUAACGAUUUCCCCUUACUUGGUUUUCUUUGUAAUCUGAUCUGUUUUAUUUUGAUGCCUUUGAAAACCCAAGUCUAAGAAGGCUUAAUGGCUGGGGCUGGACCCAAGGGCUUCUCCAGACUGGCUUGUAAUUCAACCAAGAUUAAGAGUUCUUCUCUUGGAAGCUAAGAUUGCACUAUCAUCUCCCAUCUUGAGGGUGCAGAGAACGGAGUGCUGGGCCUGGAGGCAAGAAGGCCCGAGUUUGAAUGCAGCAUCAGACACUGGCCAGGUGAGCCUGGGCAAGUCAUCCAUCUCUAUUUAUCUCAAUUUCCUCAUCUACAAAAUGGAGAUUCUAGGAGCACCUCACUCCCAAGGAGCUAGGUGGCAGAGUGGAGAUUAUAUUGGGCCUGGAAUCAGGAAGACUACUUUUCUUGAGUUCAAAUAUGACCUCAGACACUUACUAGAUGUAUGAACUUCAGCAAGUCAUUUAAUCUUGUUUGCCUCAGUUUCCUCAUUUGUAAAAUGAGCUGGGGAAGGAAAUGGUAAACCAUUCCUGUAUUUCUGCCAAGAAGACCCCAAAUGGGGUCACGGAGAAGUAGACGUGACUGAGUUAGGCAAGCAGCAAAACCCAAGGUUGUGAGGAUUUGGUGGGAAGAUAUUUGUAGGUCUCUUAGCACAAUGCCGGUCCAUAGUAAGUGCUAAAUAAAUAAAAAAAUUCUGACUUUCUGUA